rnacentral:rRNA from 1 species
AUGUCGACGAUACCUCGACGGCUUCGAAGCCUAAUCAUCCCAGAGCAAGCUUCUGAAAGUGUACAACCAGAUGAAGAAAAUUUACAAGGCCCUCCAGAGAUUGAUGAUCUAGUACCAAAAAAGCCUCCUGAAUCUACUAGGCAAAUUAAAAUAAUUUGGCCAAAUGGAGAUGUGCGACAGAUUAUAGGGGAAUUCCGAGGUAAAAAUUUGUCGGAAUUACGUGGGGGGAAGAUAAUUGUGGAGACUGACGGAAGUGGAAUUCCAAAUGGAAGGUCGGCUGCCAUUCUCGGUCAGCAUCUUACCUGGCUUGCAGAAAACUCAACAUUUGCACCAUUGCAUAUUCCAAGAUGGGACAAUGAAUUGUUUCUACAAAAACAUGGGCAGAUGAUCACAGAUGUGGAGGAGAAAUUUAUCUACCCCAAUGAGACUAGACAACUUAUGAGAGACUGGAUCCUAUUGAAUAUUAACAAAAAAUGGAGAGUGUAUAAGUCUCGUUUGAAGAGUAAAUAUUUCAACCGUGACAAGAAGUCUUUGGCUAAAAUUGUAGCAGCUGUUCCCAAAGGUGUUAAUGAACAUCAAUGGGGUACUCUUGUUGGGUUUUGGUGCCAGGAUUCACACAUGAAAUUAUGUGAAAAGAACACCGAGUGUGCAAAGAAGCAGAAGACUCCACAUACAACCGGGAGAAAAAGCCAUGCUAGGCUCAAAAAAGAGAUGGAAAUUAAGAGCAAUCGAAAGGUUAGCAAGAUUGAACUAUGGGAUGAAGCUCAUAAGCAGAAGAAGGACGGUGAAUACAAAAAUGCGAAUACAAAGAUAGUGAUGGAGAAACUGGAAGAAAGAAAGAAAGGUAACAACGGGAGCCUUUCAUUUAGUGAUUAUAAAGAAGUAUUUAAAAGUGUGCAUGGGGAAGAGGCAAAAAAACUUCGAGGGUAUUAUGGUGAUAAGUAUUGGAGCGAAAUAAAAGUUUCUCAGGGACUGACUUUUGUUCAGCAUCCUGAGAAAGAAGGAAAUGUUCAAUUUAGACUGCGGGCACUAGGAGAUAAUGUAGAAAAUGUGACAGAUGAGUUGGCUAUGAUCCGUUCAUUCCUGAAGAGAAAGUUCCCCACAGAGGAUUUGAGAAAUGAAUUUGUAACCGCGGGAAGUGAUGAAGUUGAUCUCAAUGAAAGAGUUGUUGGCAGUGAUCUCCCAAAUGAAUCACAUAACGAAGCUGAAGAAUAUGCUCGAUUGAGUGCUAUGCAGGAACUACAUCCUAGCGAUUGUGCGCGGACUAAAGAGUGUUACACCGGUUUAUCGUUACCACAAGAAAAAAUGGUUGCUAAGAAGGCACGCAUUGAAAUGUUUGAAAAGGACAAUCAAGGCCGCGCAGAAUCAACCAAAGAGGGUUACACCAAUGAAGGAAGUGCAGAAUUAACUUUGCCGGAUAAGCAGAUUACUGCCCAGGAAUUGCAUCCUAGCUUUUCUUCGAGAACCAAAGAGGAUUACACUGGUUCAUCUUUACCAAACAUGGUUUCUAAGAAAGCGCACAUUGAAAAAAAUGAUAGGAUAAAUCAAGGUUGUGCAGAAUCAACUUUACUGGACAAGAUUAACCAGGAAUUGCAUCCUAGCAAUUGUGCAAGAACCAAAGAGGGUUGCACUAGUUUAUUUUCAUCACAUGAACAUACAGUUGCUAAGAAAGCACAUGAUGGUCCUGAAGCAAAGAAUGGUCAUGCUGAAAAUAACAAUGCGACCAAGCAAGGUGGUCCUGAACCAAGUGUACAACUUCAUCGCAUCACUAAGCAGGAUAAAAUGAAAGUCUUCUUGGUUUCAUUGAACCCGAGAUGCAAAGAUAAAUUUGUGGCCAAUGGAACUUUAGUGAGUAGAGAUAUGACAUAUGUGGUUGGAGGAAACAUGCUUGGAGAGCAAUAUGUAGCGGUCUCUGUUUGUGCUGUUUCAAAACUUGGAGAUCAGACACUGGUUAGACCAUAUGGAAAAUUGCAAGUAGUAAGGGAUCCUAUUGGUCAUGUUAUUGCGUGGCCUCUAUCACAUGUUAAAAAACCGAAAUUAACCAUUCCUACACAACCUCAAAACAAGCCACCAAACACUGGGCAGCUCAAGAUUUAG